CCUACGGGGGGCAGCAGUGAGGAAUAUUGGUCAAUGGACGAGAGUCUGAACCAGCCAAGUAGCGUGAAGGAUGACUGCCCUAUGGGUUGUAAACUUCUUUUAUAAAGGAAUAAAACGAGGCACGUGUGCCCUUUUGCAUGUACUUUAUGAAUAAGGAUCGGCCAACUCCGUGCCAGCAGCCGGGGUAAUACGGAGGAUCCGAGCGUUAUCCGGAUUUAUUGGGUUUAAAGGGAGCGUAGGCCGGUCUUUAAGCGUGCCGUGAAAUUUUGUGGCUCAACCAUGGGAGUGCGGCGCGAACUGGAGACCUGGAGUGGGCGAAAGGCAGGCGGAAUGCGUGGUGUAGCGGUGAAAUGCUUAGAUAUCACGAAGAACCCCGAUUGCGAAGGCAGCAUGCCGCAGCGUGACUGACGCUGAAGCUCGAAAGCGCGGGUAUCGAACAGGAUUAGAUACCCCAGUAGUC
rnacentral:rRNA from 1 species